GAAUAGAUACCCCGGUAGUCCACGCUGUAAACGAUGAGGACUAAAUGUUGGUAGGGGAACCUAUCGGUAUUGAAGCUAACGCGAUAAGUCUUCCGCCUGGGAAGUACGGCCGCAAGGUUGAAACUCAAAUGAAUUGACGGGGGGCCCGCACAAGCGGUGGAGCAUGUGGUUUAAUUCGAUGCAACGCGAAGAACCUUACCUACCCUUGACAUCCUGCGAAUCCCGAUGAGAGUUGGGAGUGCCGCAAGGAGCGCAGAGACAGGUGUUGCAUGGCUGUCGUCAGCUCGUGUUGUGAGAUGUUGGGUUAAGUCCCGUAACGAGCGCAACCCUUGUCCUUAGUUGCCAGCAUUAAGUUGGGGACUCUAAGGAGACUGCCGGUGAGGAACCGGAGGAAGGCGGGGACGACGUCAAGUCAUCAUGGCCUUUAUGGGUAGGGCUACACACGUGCUACAAUGGGGCGUACAGAGGGUCGCGAACCCGCGAGGGGGAGCCAAUCUCAUAAAGCGUCUCGUAGUCCGGAUUGGAGUCUGCAACUCGACUCC
rnacentral:rRNA from 1 species